GUUUUAGAUUAGCUGAAGCAUCUUCGAUAAAUUGGCUGUCUUCGGCUGUCAGUUUAUUAGCAGUUUAUCAGCUUAGUUGUCAAGAUUGGCUGUUGGUCAUGUGUGGCCUGCAGGUCUCAUCCAGAGGCAGAACCAAAGUCAUCCCAGAAACCCAACCCAUGUUGCACCAUUUUCUGGGGGACUCCCCAAUGUUUUGGGGGACAUUCUGGGGAAGAGCUCACUGAGGAACCCUCCGUGACAGAACCCCUUCCAGCACCUCGCAUGACCAAUGACAUCCUGGGGGAAGCGCUCAUUGAGGAACUCUCCAUGCCAGAACCACUUCCAGCACCUCGCAUCACCAACAACAUCCUGGGGGAAGAGCUCACUGAGGAACCCUCCAUGCCAGAACCCCUUCCAGCACCU